UACGUAGGGUGCGAGCGUAAUCGGAAUUACUGGGCGUAAAGGGUGCGCAGGCGGCUCCGCAUGUCGGGCGUGAAAUCCCCGGGCUUAACCUGGGAAUUGCGUUCCGAAACUAUGGAGCUGGAGUGUGGCAGAGGGAGGUGGAAUUCCACGUGUAGCGGUGAAAUGCGUAGAGAUGUGGAGGAACACCGAUGGCGAAGGCGCCUCCGUGGGCCGAUACUGACGCUGAGGAGCGAAAGCGUGGGGAGCGAACAGG
rnacentral:rRNA from 1 species